rnacentral:rRNA from 1 species
AUCGAACGCUGGCGGCAGGCUUAACACAUGCAAGUCGAGCGAGCGGCGGACGGGUGAGUAAUGUCUGGGAAACUGCCUGAUGGAGGGGGAUAACUACUGGAAACGGUAUCUAAUACCGCAUACCAUCAGAUGUGCCCAGAUGGGAUUAGCUAGUCGGUGGGGUAAUGGCUCACCUAGGCGACGAUCCCUAGCUGGUCCGAGAGGAUGACCGGCAACACGGGAACUGGGACACGGUCCAGACUCCGACGGGAGGCAGCAGUGGGGAAUAUUGCACAAUGGGCGCAAGCCUGAUGCAGCCAUGCCGCGUGUGUGAAGAGGGCCUUCGGGUUGUAAAGCACUUUCAGCGAGGAGGCGUUACUCGCAGAAGAAGCACCGGCUAACUCCGUGCCAGCCGCCGCGGUAAUUC